GGGGUAAACAAGUUCACCAAGAAGCUACGCAGUCCUGACGUGAUUCCAAACAACGAAGUCAUGGACUUCCUGAGUCGCGUGCCUGACAACGAAGAAAAGGUGAUGUACCGCGAGUUGCGGCCGGCGCCCAGCGCGGCCCUGGAGGCCGAGCGCAAGAAGAAGAAGAAGAUCAGCUGAUCAUGGGCGGCCCGACGCCAGGGCUGCUCGCUCAACGUGUUUCGCAUCAAGGACAACGAAGCCCUGCGCCGGCGCCUGCAGCUGCCGCGCUGGCCGUUCGGCCUGCCUUCCAGGUGACGCUGGUGUCGUCGCCCACGAUUCUUCGUCAACGCUGGCCGCCUUCUCUGCGGCGAGUCCCACACCGCGGCACAGUGUGAUGCACUCCGGUUUUCAGUCCUGUGUCGUCUAUGUCAUUGCGUUCAUCUCUCUAGGGUGUGUGUCCCUCUUGUGCGAGAACAGCGUCCAUCACGCAGGUGGUUCUGUUCGUCGAAGGAACAGCGCCGAGAGAAAGGUUGUUAAACAGAUCGAGGAAUGUCAUUGUUUACGCGUUGUAAUAAUAAACAAAGCAAGAAUGAUGUUUAGACGAGGAAUGCAAACGUCACCAAACGCCGGAAUCUCAGCGAUUUCUCUUUCCUGGAGAUACGUUACCUAUGGCAUCUUUUACGUGGCUCUCGAGUAGGUCAUGUAGUCGACUUGCGGCCAGCUCGAAGCAUACAGCCUUGCGGGCUGUUGGUGCCAAUGUACCCAGUGCAGUCAACCAGAAGCUACAGCUUACAAUGCCCCAAUUUUUUACAACUGCCAAAACAUUCACGUUUCUCGCGAGUGUCUUGCAAAAUACGAUUCUUUCAGCAGAUUCACGUGUCUUUCGAGCGUCUAGCAAAACGCAUCUACUAAGGAGAUUAGUGCGUCCAUUUAAACAGCCAAAUUACUUGCCACAUCGAAAUAGCACGUUUCUUUCGCGUCGUGUUCGAACACCAGGAGGCGCUUGAUUUUUAUCACGUUUUUUCAAACUGCCAGUGUGAGGCAGUUGCCUGUUGGUACCGUUACGAUAUGAAUGCCUUGAUUGUUGACCAUGCGUUCUUGUUAUUGUUGCCGCAACUCGAACGUAAUGUGUUCAAUGAUAAAUGAAUUGUUGUUCCAAUGCAGUUAACAAGCCCGGCGGCCGCGCGAAGGCUUUUCUUAUUACUGUCAAGACAUUACUGAAAAAAAUUGCGUUCCCUAAGGUUCCCCAGAGAGGCCAUUGUUCGACCGCCGAAAUAUGUUCGGAGUUGCUAUGAGCGCUCUGAAGGCGAACCCGCCGCGGUUUGAGUGAUAAAUAUCCCGUGCCAGGAAUAUGCUUCUCAUCUAAACGAGUUCUGACGGUGCUGUGUAGACGUUUAGUUGCUUCAAACUCGAUGCAAUCUUUGACACGUCUUGGCCGCCUGCAUAUGGGCGGGCACGUUAGGCUUCGUUCUACGGUCAAGUGGUAAGGAGGGUCAAGAAUAAAUCUGAUUGAUCCUUGACGACGUCCCCUGUUGAACCUUAGGUGCGGCGUGUAUGAGCUCACCGCAGGUGAAAGGAACAGGCUGUGGGCUGCUAACAAAACUCUGAAUACGUUGUUAGAUUCGUCCUGCAUUCAGAAAUACUUGUACAUAAUCAAGAUUUCAAAGCUAAAUGCAACGGUUGUUUGUCUUCAUGUUUUCUCGCUGUACGGGGCCGUCUGAUGAUUUAUGGUUUCAUCGCAAGUAUUUUGGGUCGCCGAAGUAGGAGGCCGUGCGUUCUUGCCUGUAAUUUGCGUGAAAUGAUGCCCAGACUUCUUGUUGUGUUCAGAAAUACUUGUACAUAAUCAAGAUUUCAAAGCUAAAUGCAAUGCCUGUUUGUCUUCAUGUUCUCUCGCUGUACAGCCCUUCUGAUGAUUUACAGCUUCAUCGCAACUAUUUUGGGUCGCCGAAGUAGGAGGCCAUGCGUUAUUGCCUGACAUUUGUGUCAAUUGAUGCCCACACUUGAUGUUUUGUAGGUUGUGGAAAAAUGCUUUCUCUCAAAGCGUGCGUAUGUUUGUUGGUUUUGUACAGAACACGCACUGUUAUGUGCGUGAUAAUACAUGCCAUAAAGGAAACUGUCGUGCUCUCAAGCGCUUGUACACAUAGUACGUAUACUCCACAUUCUGCACGGUGCCAAAGAUGUUUCAGUGCACUCUUCCACCACGAGUUGGUUGUCAAGCGUUGUGCUGCUUCCCUUUUUAUUAUUUCAUAUUCUCAAUUCUGUUCUGUUACUGCUCGGGCUAUGUCGAAAGUGGUGUGCUACAGAAGGUGUAAGGAUUUUUCGUCUUUUAUAUGUUUUGUGAUGCUACCACCAUAGCCUUUCGUGUGGCUACUUUAAUUUGCAGCGUGGGUAACUCUCGUACUUUGUCCAAAUUCAAGGAAACGAUGUUAACGUUCGCUCGAUGCUCGAUUACAUUGUUUUUUACUACGGGACAAGGUCUCACUGGUUAAUCGACGGCUCUCAGAAACAAUUUUAGAAGUUAUGUGCGCGGGGAGCUGCCAAAGAUUGCAGACAGGGCCACGCCCACCUUACCUGAUUCAGCAUUGUUUUUGUGUAUACGUGCCUGUGCGUGCAGGAGCAAUCUUUGCGUGAAAUAGAAGAAAAUGAAAUAUUACUGGUUGGAGAGUCUGGUAAUCCUCCGCAAGCUGAAGGAAACAGAUCAGAGGCACGGCUCGUGGCUCUGAAGUAAGCGAUAAACGAAACUUGAAAUCUAAGCACUUCUUUAGGCACGGCACCGGAAUCACCACACGGAUUGCCUUUCUGUUUUUGAAUAAACGUUUUUCUGUAUCUCUUCGCUAUGCUUGAGCGCGUGAGCGGAGUGGGUCAUAAAACGCACUUAGUUUAGUACUGGAUGCAAGGGUGCGCGGAUAGUAUCUGAGUCCGAAUCGAAUCGAACAGUUCCAGAAGGGAAUCGAACCGAAUAAAUUUUUAAAUAAUGGACAAUAAUAUGAAAUGAUUUUCACAUCCUAGUAUAUUGCAAACGUUUGCAAGCUUCUGUCAUUACCUUGAAAGUUAUAAAGCGUUGUUUAUUAAAGUCACAAGUAAAGCAUUAGGAACGAAUAAGCAGUUCGCUCACAUACUCGGGACUCCUUGGUGAGGGCGAAUGGUAGUGGUUUAGCCGGAGGACAAGUCUGGCUCCUUCAGUUAUGUAUAGCGUGCUGGGACGAAACCGUCGCCGGGAGGAAAUUUGUAGCACUUUUGCACCAAUUUCAUGUUUGAUCGGUGUCCGUUGAUAGCCUAAAAGAUUCGAAAACUGUUCGAAAACUGUUCCUAUUUACGAGUAGUGACUAUUCAAUUCGAAGACCGAGUCUGAUUUGACAAAUAUUCGAAUCGCUAUUCGAAAGUUGCAAAUAUUCUCACAGCCCUACUCUUAUGAAAACGCUGUAGUAUUAAUAAACACUGUAGCUAUAGAAACGCUCGACACUUGCUAGCCGCGCUGUCAAAAUUUUCGAGGUCAAUUAGCGCACUGCUGUUGCUGUUUAAAGGUUGUUUAAUCGUGUUUACGCAGCACUUCCUACUCUCUUACGAUAUACUCGAGAAAACAGGAACUCUUUCUUACUCUCCAAGUCUUAGGAUUGCCAUCGAUGUACAAGAACCGUCACAUUGUUGACUCGCUGAAUGGCGCGGCCAGUGUUUGACACAGUCGGUGUAUGUUCCUCUGUGUCAAUGUUGUCAAACCAGUUUACUUGUUUCUUGUUCUGAAGGCUUACUGUAAUACUGCACCGUUAGCCUUGAAUUGGAACGUUUCUAAGCAAAAUGAAAUGCUAAUGCAUUAAGAGCCUCGAGUGAGUAUCUCUACAGGAGUGAAUACGCUUUUGUGGCUAAUGCAAAGGUUAGCGUGGUCCUGUCAUUGCGUUAUCUUCCGUGCGCUUCUCUCGCUGAAUUCGCAGCCACCCUACUCUUAUUCAACGCUUCUUUAAAAGUAGCUGGCGGCUGCCUUCUUCUUCGCAUUGCGACUAGAACUGCAUCGCUAUGGCUUUCUCUCAUUGGAAAGCGACGCAUGUCGACAGUCGUCUAGUCCACGUCUGCAGUAUCUGCAGGAAUCAAACGGUAUCUCUUGAGCAGACACCCCAUUAUUUAGCUUUCCUUAUCCGAUGUCGUGGGGCAAGCGUAAUGUCUGCAUAGAAUCUAGUCGGAAGAUUCAAAGUGUCCACGGAGCAUUCUCACUAAGAAUCGUCUGCUGCCAAUGUACCUCAGAGGCAUUAAAUCUCAUGCUUGAUGUACUGUACUUUUGAUAUCGUAGCUUUUUCCGUGACGCGCGCUGCAUGUUAGAGGAGCAGCGAUUUUAGGACUGAUUUGGCAGUGUUGGCCGUACCUCUGUAAGCCCGGGGCUGCCAAGUGGAACGCCAAAUCACAUUUCUACUUCCACAGCCACUUAUACAAUCGUUGCGUUACGCAUGAGGCUGGCCUGUUACUUACCUGUGUUCAUAUGCCUUGCGGCAACAGGAUCGAAUCAAAAGGAUGAGAUCGCAUGUGUUCACCAGUAGCAAGGCCUCGCUGAUUGGUAUUUUCUCACAUUAGUAAAGGUAAUAUCCCCCACCCCCCAAUUUCAUAAUUUUCGAGCUCGUCGUCAAGCGGAGGAACACCUGCUGUAAAUAAGCGGCUAUCGCCAGCCGCGUUGUGUUGUUUGAGCGCAAAUAUAUUAGUACAUAACUCAAUGCAUUAAGCGAAUGGUGUCAUCAUGAGACCCUUGAAACUUGUUUGAAGCCCACGCGACAUACUAAGUGCUAACUAACUUAGUACACACUAAGUUCUUCCCUUGCUUUCAUACGUCUUAGGUGAGUAUAGUGAAACCCGCGAGCACUCACGUGCUGUGUUUACGGCCGCAUAUGCGUAUUAAAAGUAUGAGAUUCUCACCGUAAGCCAUUGUCUAGACAAGGAACUUCGCAAUGAGUUAAACUUUUUCCCGGGCCUGUUUCGAAAGCACCGAAAAUUUCACUACUGCAAAAUACAAAUACAUCCCAUUUGCAGCGUGCGUCCUGGAAGACGCUACACAAGCACAUUUGAUGGUUGCUGGAGUGUGUGUCUGCCUGUGAAUACUGUGUAUACAUCUGUGAAUACAACGCAGUGUCGAGAGCUAACCGGACGCGUUUUGUACUUAAGAUAGCUUUGAACCACUGCUUUUCAUGCCUAUCUCUCCUUUCUCCCCGUGAGGCUGUUCAUCGUUCGCUCCUCCGCUAUUGCUCCAGCAAAUUCCCUGACGCUGGAUCCUAUCGAACAUGCCGUGCCUUUUUAAGCUCUGCGUAUAACUAUUAUAUGUAUUUGUGUAUUCGUGCUAUUGUGUGUGUGAAUGUGUGUGUGUGCGUGUGUUGCAUGGGUUUGUGAAACACACCCACCAAAGAAAUUGGACGUGGCGGACGGAUCACCGUAAGGCGUUUCCAAGCGUUUCCCGGGUCGCAGUUAUAACCUUAUCGAUGACAGUGUCCCAACGAUGACGAAAAUAAGUCCAGGUCAUUUCAAUAAAGCAAAGUUUUUUUCCAAAGGAUGUGUUCCAGAACGUCAACGCAGUAAAUACUUUUAACGAAAUAGUAAUUGCACGCCAUGAGGUUUUACAGCCAUCAGUAUAAUUGGAUGAUUGUGGAAAAAAAGGAAAUUUAACUUCUAGUGGUAUCUAUGCUUACAAAUUCACUCUGCAAAAAGUGCUCUUAUCAGCGGUAGUGAUAUAAAAAAUUAACAAAUACACCAUAAGGCUUACUGUGUCUUUGAAUUCCGAAUAUUGUGGUUAUAAUUUUGCACUUCCGAACGUCCCUUGCUCAGUGGCACUCCGAGUACCACUUUGAUAAUUACCUGACUGGAUAUCCAGCGGAUCUUGAGUGCCGGCAUUGCUGCAUUGUGUUCUCUUGAUUGCUACUCGAGAUUGAAACAGACUAUAAGCAGGAGAUUGCGUGCUCAGAAUAAUAUGGACAUGUAUGUCAGUUUUUGUGCGUGCCACGCAAUUACGCGAACAGUGUGUGUGCCAAUACGUUGCUUCACCGAAUGCCAACCAAUACCCUAAUGCGCUGCAACCUUGGAUACACGUUCAGUAAUUCUGCCGGUGUUUCCUUUUUCAUUACACCGAAAAUUCAUGCACGAGCUAUUUGAACACUGUAGACACAGUGAGCUCAUGGUUCUUAGCCACCUGUGGGAACGCUAGGCAUGCUUUUACGUGGACAGGUCUUUUUGCAGCAUGACCGACAUGUGGGUGUAUUGAUUACACUGUUGUUCAGGUACGCUUGCCGUGUCUUCUCAAUUGCUAUAAGAGGCAAGUUUGUAGCGCGACUGUCGCCAGAGGUACGGCCCUUCGUUAUGCGAUGCAGUGACGAUGUGCGGCAGGAUCGCGUUUAUGUUCCUUCUUUGCUCACUUUCGAAUGCAAAUUGUGUGUUGUUAAUAGACGCGUGGUGCCUGUACAUAUGGCGUCUUGCUGUUUUACAUAUCAUUAUAGUUGUGUGUUACUCGUCACCAUAAGUGUGUAAGAUCUCGAAGAGAUCAUCCGCAUAGCGCUUAUUUUUGUUAAUUCGUUGGAAGGUUUCUGCCGCACGUGAGUGGCUCACGUGUUCUUCCGCACUUCACCGUGUUGUGCGAGAAAAAAAAAAAAAAAAACCACGAUCAAGUGCAUGUGGUUGUGAAAUCCUCGUAACGCUCUUGUAAAAUUGCGGCUAGCCGUGUUCUCUCGCGAAGGCGUAUGUUGACAUUCCAGAAGAUGAAUUAAAUGCUUUUUCAAUGCAA